GAUAUUGAUUAUCACAUUGCUCUUCAUGUUGCCGCGUGUGAGGGAUUCACUGAGGUCGAUGAGUUUUUGCUCCAGAAAGUUGCCGAAGUUGACGCCAAGGAUCGAUGGGGAAGCACGGGAUGAUGUUGUUGUUGAAGAUGAAACUAAUGGCGAGUUUCUAUUGUAUCUUCAUAUUUGGAUAUAGUUUAUGAUCCUGAUUCAGGUUCUGACUUUGAAGAUACUAGGUAAAAUGAACAUUGCUGCAUGGGCUAGCAAAGAAGAUGAGGAUAAGGAUGCAUCCACUUCCUUGAAAACAAAAGCAGAAGCACCUAAGAGUGUCAUUGAAGCACGUGCAAUAGCAUGGGAGGAAGCUGAGAAGGCCAAGUAUAUGGCUAGGUCAGUUCAUACUGAUUAUUGAUGUUAACAUUAUCUGUAACUUCUGUUGCUUUAGAGAUGUAAAUCCAUUAACAUGCCCAAUUAUUCAUAAUUAAAUUAAAUUUCAUCAAGUAAAGGGUGCUGCCCAAAUAAAUCUUGCAUGA